rnacentral:rRNA from 1 species
GUAGUCCACGCCGUAAACGAUGGGUGCUAGGUGUGGGAGGUGUCGACUCCUUCCGUGCCGUAGCUAACGCAUUAAGCACCCCGCCUGGGGAGUACGGCCGCAAGGCUAAAACUCAAAGGAAUUGACGGGGCCCCGCACAAGCAGCGGAGCAUGUUGUUUAAUUCGAUGCAACGCGAAGAACCUUACCAGGGCUUGACAUGCACUGGAAAUCCGUAGAAAUACGGCCCUCCUUCGGGACCAGUGCACAGGUGGUGCAUGGCUGUCGUCAGCUCGUGUCGUGAGAUGUUGAGUUAAGUCCCGCAACGAGCGCAACCCCUGUCCCAUGUUGCCAGCGAGUGAUGUCGGGGACUCAUGGGAGACUGCCGGUGACAAAUCGGAGGAAGGUGGGGAUGAUGUCAAGUCAUCAUGCCCCUUAUGUCCUGGGCUACAAACGUGCUACAUUGGCCGGUACAAAGGGCUGCAAACCUGCGAGGGUGAGCGAAUCCCAAAAAGCCGGUCCCGGUUCGGAUUGAAGGCUGAAACUCGCCUUCAUGAAGGCGGAGUUGCUAGUAAUCGCGGAUCAGCAACGCCGCGGUGAAUA